GAUGAACGCUGACAGAAUGCUUAACACAUGCAAGUCUACUUGAAUUUGGGUUUUUAACUUAGAUUUGGGUGGCGGACGGGUGAGUAACGCGUGAAGAACUUGCCUCACAGCUAGGGACAACAUUUAGAAAUGAAUGCUAAUACCUAAUAUUAUGAUAAUAGGGCAUCCUAUAAUUAUGAAAGCUAUAUGCGCUGUGAGAGAGCUUUGCGUCCCAUUAGCUAGUUGGAGAGGUAACGGCUCACCAAGGCGAUGAUGGGUAGCCGGCCUGAGAGGGUGAUCGGCCACAAGGGGACUGAGACACGGCCCUUACUCCUACGGGAGGCAGCAGUGGGGAAUAUUGGACAAUGGACCGAGAGUCUGAUCCAGCAAUUCUGUGUGCACGAUGAAGUUUUUCGGAAUGUAAAGUGCUUUCAGUUGGGAAGAAAGAAAUGACGGUACCAACAGAAGAAGUGACGGCUAAAUACGUGCCAGCAGCCGCGGUAAUACGUAUGUCACGAGCGUUAUCCGGAUUUAUUGGGCGUAAAGCGCGUCUAGGUGGUUAUAUAAGUCUGAUGUGAAAAUGCAGGGCUCAACUCUGUAUUGCGUUGGAAACUGUAUAACUAGAGUACUGGAGAGGUAAGCGGAACUAUAAGUGUAGAGGUGAAAUUCGUAGAUAUUUGUAGGAAUGCCGAUGGGGAAGCCAGCUUACUGGACAGAUACUGACGCUGAAGCGCGAAAGCGUGGGUAGCAAACAGG
rnacentral:rRNA from 1 species